CCCCCCCCGUUGAAACCCCGCUGGCCGGGGCAUCUGGCGCCCAACAUGCGGCUCAACCCUCACCUUGUCGGGAGUUGAACGUCCUUCUCCAGGAAAGUCCAGACAUCUGGUGGAGAUUUGAAGCGAUCACCCGUCAAGACCACCCGACUCAGUGUCCUGGUGAUCUGGGGGGAAAGCGGGAAGGACGAGGAUGUGGACUCCCCCAUCUGGAUCCCAAACAGACUCAUCAGAUCAGCUCCUUCAGAGACAAAAGAGGAGUCAACAGAAAAAGAGGAAGCUGCAGAAGCGGCGAGUAGAACAAAAGACAAAGACACUUUCGAUUUUGCCGAGACCACUACCAACUUGGACUCAGAUUAAGCAUUUGUCAAAACAGGCUGUUGAGUUGGUUACGCACGUGGGGGUCCCCUGCGACUCCCGCACAUGUUUUUCUUGCUAUGCUUGCCUUACUAACAACACAGAAAUUCUCGGGGGGUUCCGAGACUCUGACGACAGGCCAAGCGUCUCUGAUUAUAUAACCUUUAAAGGACGUUUGGAUUCACUCCCGAUCUGCCUGCCAUUGCAAGGGGUGGCUCCGAGCUGAUGUUUACAGCUCAGCUAGCUCACUUUUCUCACUGACGCUCCAAAAAAGCCUAGUAAGUCUUAUGGGGCCAGAUAGAUGUGGGAAACUAAUCUUUUAACUCUGGGAUCUCCUCUUUUUGAUGAAAAAAUUGAAACUGUUGAUUUCAUGCCUCUUGCCUCUUGUAUUCAGAAAUACAGAGAUUUAGAUCAAUUCUGGGACAGCAGUGUUACUGCUUUUCCUGUCUGGCUUACUUGUGGCUUUCCCCAUUCUGCUGUUUUCUCCUUCCGGUUAUACUUCUAUAGAAAUUUGAGAUUUUUUUUUCCUCCUCGAGGGAGAAGAAAUAUAAUGAUUAUAUUAAGCAAUAUUCUUCUACUAAAUUUCAUGGGUAUAAAUUUAAUGAUCAUGGCGAACAAAUUACUAGAUGGUCUUCCCCUGGAUAUGUAGACCCUGUCUGGGUCUCUAGAGACCCUCAUACAGGAAUCACGAAAUCUCAUCCAGGACUUUUCAGAGCAAUUGCUGCCUCAGGGGUAGUCUCUCAAAAAAGGCCAAAUGAGACCAGAUUAUCACCUUUUCCUGUCAGGGCAUGCGUCUCAUAUCCUUUUGGAUUUUUACUUGGUCACAACACUCAGGUCAACAUCACCAAGAAUGGACCUUCCUUUAAAGUUCACUGUUAUGCCUGUGUGCUUACCAACUGCCUUGAGCCUAGGAUAUGAGAUGGUCUGAACGUUAUGUUUCUUGUAAAACGCCUGGCUUUUGUUAUGUUGCCUGUGAAACUUGAAAACAUGUCUUGGAAUGAUAACUCAGCCUUGAAAGUCUUGGAGGAUAUUCAUGCUCUUUUGAGACCAAAAAGAUUUGUUGCUGCCCUCAUUCUUGGAAUAACUGCACUUAUCUCUAUUGUAACAUCUUUUGCUGUUGCUACAACUGCUCUUGUUAAGGAAAUGCAUACUGCUCCUUUUGUUAAUAGUUUGAAUAAGAAUUUUUCUUAUGCUUUGUCGAAACAGGUGUUAAUUGAUCAAAAAUUAGAAGCAAAGCUCAAUGUUUUAGAGGAAGUGGUGCUUUCUCUGGGUCAAGACAUUGAUAAUAAUAAGAGACAAUUGGAGACUAGAUGUCAUGCUGAAUUUAAGGAUAUAUGCCUUACUCCACUUCCCUAUAAUCAGUCUCAUGAUUGGGAUAAAAUAAAAGCACAUUUGUUGGGAGUUUGGAAAGAUACUGAUAUCACUUAUGACUUUGAGGCUCUGCAAAAGGAUAUUUCAGCCAUGAGUCAAGGACAUUUAAAUUCAGGCAACUUAAAAUCACUGGCCUCCAGCAUUUAGGAGAGCAUAAGGGCUCUGAAUCCUUUGGAUUGGAUUCAAUAUUUUGUUCUCAUUGGGAUAUUGGCAGUAGUGGUUCUUUGUGUUGUUCUUCUCUUUCCUUGUCUUUUUAGAGUGUUGUCCAAGUCUGUGAACUCGGUCCAGAGCAACAUCUUCCCCUUGCAUCUUAAAAACAAAAAACCGGGAACUGCCACACCCACGGCGCUGUCACCUGUGUGACAAAUGCCAUUGAUCUGGUGGUCGCCAGGAAAGGAGGG